AAAUCCUGUCAAACACCACAGAAAAAGUAUGCCUUUCCCUCAUUUUUCUUGCCAUGGCCAAGCAUCACUAGACCACACCAACAUGACAUGGUAGGCUAACAGACCUCAUUCAUUCAAACAAAAACCUCACUUGUAUUUUCUGUCCACAAGCUAUCCAAACACACAAUGAACCUAACCUGGCCUGGCUUGAGAUAGUCAUCAAGACAUAUAACAAAAACACACCAGCAUCAUCAAACCAACAAGAAAUAGCAUUGGUUCUUUCAUUCACUCAAAAACCUCUUCUUGCACUUUUUCAUUUAUCAGUCCACAAACUUCAAACACUUUGACUUUGUUUGGUUGGUUCAUCAUCAAGGCAACAUCAUGAGCA
rnacentral:lncRNA from 1 species